rnacentral:piRNA from 1 species
CCAAAUGGAGACUGGCUCAGGACCUGUAG